rnacentral:sRNA from 1 species
CCAGCCCUGACCCACCCUGGCAGAUGGCCGGUACUCACCCAGCGAAGUCCCUGGAUGCAGCUUGGGCGCCGGUGCUCGAACACUAGCUGCUGGGCCCACCUGCCAGUGGUUCUCACCUGGCCAGCUGACCUGUGAUGGGGGGAGGAAAGUGGACAGCCAUCGGCCGGAGGAGCUGGACCUUCCUACCACCACCCCAGGCUUAGCGUCCUCUGGACUUGGACUGGUCAUGCGGAGCUCACACCGCGGUGCUUGCCCUAGCAAGAGGCUGCAGGAACCCUGGAGUGCCCCAGGGCAGCUCCACCCGGGAAUCCUGGAGGGGGGAUGAGUGAGUCCCUAGCGCAGGAAAGGGUCAGCUUCCAGCAGGACAGGUUGCCGGGAGUAGCGAGGUGCAGGGCUGGGCAGAUGGGGUUAGUCCUGGGUGAGUAAAGGGCUGGGGGCGUGGGGGAGCCCCCACCCCUCCCCAAAGACUAAGGACUCCGAGCCUCCGCCUCCGUCCCAGAUGUAAAAGCCAGCUGGCACAGGGCGUUCAGGCGAAGCUGCAGCUGGCACUGGUCCGGGCGGGAGCUGUCACACCCCCUGCGCUGCCCGCCCCUUCCCCUCCCCGGGACAGGGGGCGGGGAGCAGGCACCGGCUUUACGGUAGGUGUGGGCAUAAGGGAAGGGGCUGGGCCAGCAGUUGAUGGAGUCCCGUACCCUACUACGUCAGUGGGUUCAAGCUCUUGUCCUGAGGUCUCAGCGGGUAGGAAGUGCCGAAGGGUAUCUGCCCCAGCCGCUGCCCGAGUGCCGGGUUAGGGGCGGUGAUGGCUGCACCCGCCGCCACGUGGCCAAGAGGAGAAAUGCAAACAAGGAAACUAGGGAAGGGGGAGGGAGUGAGUCAUGGCGGCCCCACCCCGGAGGGAAAUCCGGGCUGGGGCCGCUUCCUGGCCAGGGGCGUCCGGCCUCCCGUUUGGGCUCAGGGUUUCCAGAAGCCCAGGGCUGAAACUGGGCAGCCUUCCCGUGGGGGAAUCCCGUUGCCUGGCCUCCCACCUUUGCCCUCCCAAUCGCACACACUGGCGCGGGUGGGGAAAUUGAGGCUGGCGGAGAGGGACUGCAUUCCAGACGGAGAGGGGCAAGUGGGUAGGUGUAAAGUGCCGGGACUUGACUCUGUGGCAGAGUUUCAAAGACAGGAUGGGCUUUGGGGGCCCUGCCCCGCCCACAAAGUGCUCCCCUGUGCCGAGCUAGGUGAAGGCAGAGCACACCUCCUCCUUGGGCCUCUUUCCACCGUCGGACAGAUGGCUGGCACUUCGUCUCACUCGCUCCUGCUUUCUAGUGGACAGACUGUGACCUGGGACUGUGAUUUCCCGUAAUUGCUCAGGACAUCGCACGACUGAUUUAACUCCUGGAAUUCCGAUUCCAUCCUAUUGGCACGAAGUGGAAACUCGGAGCUUUGAACAAACGUUCCAGGUGGUCUGUAGUGCCCACCCUUGGAGACACACUAUUGAAGAUUUCUCUGCGCCUCUCUGAGGAAAGAGGAGGACCUGGAGACAAGUCUGCCUCACAACUCAGGUCAGCGAGAGAAGCAUUCAAUGCACAGGAAGCACCUGAAGAAAGCUAUUCAAAUGGGCAACAAUGAGGAAGCUGAGGCUCCAAGAUGUCAAACAAUUUGCCCAGCAUUUUUUCUACCUCACGAGCAGUGGAACAACAAGCGAUUCUACCCAAAGGGUCACUGAAUCUGUGCUUCACCGUUCUGGCAGAAAAAUCGCAACACUUCCUACAAAGAAGAAAGGCUCACAUCAGGAGUUCUAGCCCCCCCCCCCCCCGCCCUAGGUAUUCUAGCUCUGGAUGUCAGAGAGCUACUUCAGAUCCAUUUGGUACAGGCUGUCCCUUCAUUGGUUUCUGCCAGAGUACAGGCCCCCUAGGAGCCCCCAUGUCUCUUCAGGUAAAUGGCAGCUGCCCUGGGGACUGGGCCUGGAGGUAGGACAGUUGUGGAGGGCUCCUGAGAGCAAGGCUUUGACUCUGGACUGCGUUUUUUUGACGAAGGCCUCUUGACUGACUCUGCACACACUGAGCCCACAGCUUCCUGGAUUUCUACUGGAGCCUUAAAACUCCAUGUGUCUGGGGGCUGGAGAGGUGGCUCAGUGGUUAAGAGCACGGACUGCUCUUCCUGAGGUCCUGAGUUCAAAUCCCAGCAACCACAUGGUGGCUCACAACCAUCUGUAAUAAGAUCUGAUGCCCUCUUCUGGUGUGUCUGAAGGCAGUUACAGUGUACUCAUAUACAAUAAAAUAAAAUCUU